rnacentral:rRNA from 1 species
GUAGGGUCCAAGCGUUAAUCGGGAAUUAUUGGGGCGUAAAGCGUGCGCAGGCGGUUGUGCAAGACCGAUGUGAAAUCCCCGGGGCUUAACCUGGGGAAUUGCAUUGGUGACUGCACGGCUAGAGUGUGUCAGAGGGGGGUAGAAUUCCACGUGUAGCAGUGAAAUGCGUAGAGAUGUGGAGGAAUACCGAUGGCGAAGGCAGCCCCCUGGGAUAACACUGACGCUCAUGCACGAAAGCGUGGGGAGCAAACAGGAUUAGAUACCCUGGUAGUCCACGCCCUAAACGAUGUCAACUAGUUGUUGGGGAUUCAUUUCCUUAGUAACGUAGCUAACGCGUGAAGUUGACCGCCUGGGGAGUACGGUCGCAAAGAUUAA